GGCACGAUGACCGACACCCGGCGGCGGGUGAAGGUUUACACACUCAACGAGGACCGGCAGUGGGACGACCGGGGCACCGGGCAUGUGUCGUCGGGCUACGUGGAGCGGCUGAAGGGCAUGUCCCUGCUUGUCAGGGCCGAGAGCGACGGUUCUCUACUUUUAGAGUCCAAAAUAAAUCCUAAUACUGUAUACCAGAAACAACAGGACACUUUGAUUGUGUGGUCUGAAGCAGAAAAUUAUGACUUGGCCCUUAGCUUUCAAGAAAAAGCUGGAUGUGAUGAAAUUUGGGAGAAAAUAUGUCAGGUUCAAGGAAAGGACCCAUCAGUGGACAUCAGUCAGGACCUUGUAGAUGAGUCUGAAGAGGAGCAUUUCGAUGAUAUGUCAUCGCCAGGUUUAGAAUUGCCAUCUUGUGAAUUAAGUCGCCUUGAGGAAAUUGCAAAACUUGUGGCAUCAUCUUUACCUUCCCCCCUGCGUCGUGAAAAACUUGCACUAGCACUGGGAAAUGAGGAUUACAUUAAAAAGCUCUUAGAGCUUUUUCAUGUGUGUGAGGAUUUGGAAAAUAUUGAAGGACUGCACCACUUGUAUGAAAUUAUCAAAGGCAUCUUCCUCUUGAAUCAUACUGCUCUUUUUGAAGUUAUGUUCUCUGAGGAAUGUAUAAUGGACGUCAUUGGAUGCUUAGAAUAUGAUCCUGCUUUAUCACAACCACGAAAACAUAGGGAAUUUCUAACAAAAACAGCCAAGUUUAAAGAAGUGAUUCCCAUAUCAGAUCCUGAGCUGAAACAAAAAAUUCAUCAGACAUACAGAGUUCAGUAUAUACAAGACAUGGUUCUACCUACCCCUUCAGUCUUUGAAGAAAAUAUGUUAUCAACACUUCACUCUUUUAUCUUUUUCAAUAAGGUAGAAAUUGUUGGUAUGUUACAGGAAGAUGAAAAAUUUCUGACAGAUUUGUUUGCACAGCUAACAGAUGAAGCAACAGAUGAGGAAAAAAGACAGGAAUUGGUUAACUUUUUAAAAGAAUUUUGUGCAUUCUCCCAAACGCUACAACCUCAAAACAGAGAUGCUUUUUUCAAGACUUUGUCAAACAUGGGUAUAUUACCAGCUUUAGAAGUCAUCCUUGGCAUGGAUGAUACACAGGUGCGAAGUGCUGCUACUGAUAUAUUAUCAUACUUGGUUGAAUAUAAUCCAUCCAUGGUACGAGAGUUUGUCAUGCAGGAGGCACAACAGAAUGAUGAUGAUAUUUUGCUCAUCAACCUCAUUAUAGAACAUAUGAUUUGUGAUACAGACCCUGAACAUGGAGGAGCAGUCCAGCUUAUGGGCCUCCUUCGAACAUUAGUUGACCCAGAAAACAUGUUAGCUACUGCCAAUAAAACAGAAAAGACUGAAUUUCUGGGUUUCUUCUACAAGCACUGUAUGCAUGUCCUUACUGCUCCCUUACUGGCAAAUACAACAGAAGACAAACCUAGCAAAGAUGAUUUUCAGACUGCCCAGUUGUUGGCACUUGUAUUGGAAUUGUUAACAUUUUGUGUGGAGCACCAUACCUACCAUAUAAAGAACUACAUUAUUAAUAAGGACAUUCUCCGGAGAGUGUUAGUUCUUAUGGCCUCGAAGCAUGCUUUCUUGGCAUUAUGUGCUCUUCGUUUUAAGAGAAAGAUUAUUGGAUUAAAAGAUGAGUUUUACAACCGCUAUAUAAUGAAAAGUUUUUUGUUUGAACCAGUAGUCAAAGCAUUUCUCAACAAUGGAUCCCGCUACAAUCUGAUGAACUCUGCCAUAAUAGAAAUGUUUGAAUUUAUUAGAGUGGAAGACAUAAAAUCAUUAAUUGAUCAUGUAAUUGAAAUUUACUGGAAAGCAUUGGAAGAUGUAGAUUAUGUACAAACAUUUAAAGGAUUGAAACUGAGAUUUGAACAACAAAGAGAAAGGCAAGAUAAUCCCAAACUUGACAGUAUGUGUUCCAUUUUGAGGAAUCAUAGAUAUCGAAGAGACGCCAGAACAACAGAAGAUGAAGAUGAGAUGUGGUUCAACACAGAUGAAGAUGACAUGGAAGAUGGAGAAGCUGUCGUGUCUCCAUCUGACAAAACUAAGAAUGAUGAUGACAUUAUGGAUCCAAUAAGUAAAUUCAUGGAGAGGAAGAAAUUAAAAGAAAGUGAGGAAAAGGAGAUGCUUCUGAAAACAAAUCUUUCUGGUCGGCAGAGCCCAAGUUUCAAGUUUUCCCUCUCUAGUGGAACAAAGACUACCCUCUCCAGCCAGUCACCUGCAACAAAUCUGCCUGGUUCUCCAGGCUCACCUGGAUCCCCAGGAUCUCCAGGCUCUCCUGGAUCCAUCCCUGAAAAUACAUCUCAGACGGCAGCUAUUACUACCAGGGGAGGCCUCGUGGGUCUGGUAGAUUAUCCUGAUGAUGAGGAGGAUGAUGAUGAGGAUGAAGACAAGGAAGACACGCUCCCUUUGUCAAAGAAAGCAAAGUUUGAGUCAUAAUGGCAACUGCCUGUGAUCAGUACCUGUUGAGAAAACUGGUUCUCUACCCCUCCCCACUACAAAAUCUAUAACAAAGCAGUGGCCUCUUGUGAAUGACUGACACAGCUCAGCUCGCACACUUGACUUCUGCUCAUGAAGUGCCAAUUCAGUGGAGCAGGAGGAGGGGAUAAUUAUACAUUUAGGGGGAAGACUUACACCUUCGAGGUCUAAGCUUGGACCACACAUUGCCCUUUUCUCAGGGAAGGAAAUGGAAACGAAAAGCCAACAGGGCAGGGGUUUUGAGAGUGGAACUCUGGAUUGACUGGUCAGUUGCUACAAUCAGAAUAUGCUUUCUCGGACCAUGUUUGAGACUCAGAAGAAUAGGCUUUUCUGCCCUAAUUCUUCACUAGUUAAGAAUGCCAGCAGUUUCUUUGUAUAAAGAGACCUGCCUUUAAAAUCGUACAUUCUGAACAUUUUAGUCAAGCUACAGCAGGUUUGGAAAAACCUCUUUGGGGGAGGGGCGAAUAUGAAGUUUCCUCUUCUUUAUCUAUUCCCUUUGCCCUUCAAACUGCAGAUUUUUUUUUUAAGUGGGGAUUUGUCCCUACUUGAUUAAAGAUUGAGUGGAAUUCUA